AGCAGUGAGCAGGUCUGUUUCAGUAGCAGUGUCCCCUCCCGUCGGCUAGGGGGCAGCAGUGAGCAGGUCUGUUUCAGUAGCAGUGUCCCCUCCCGUCGGCUAGGGGGCAGCAGUGAGCAGGUCUGUUUCAGUAGCAGUGUCCCCUCCCGUCGGCUAGGGGGCAGCAGUGAGCAGGUCUGUUUCAGUAGCAGUGUCCCCUCCCGUCGGCUAGGGGGCAGCAGUGAGCAGGUCUGCUUCAAGGGCCGUUGUGAAGGAGCCUCGAGACCCACCAUGAGGAGGUCCUGAUGUACAGACAGACUGCUCUUUGAUACAAGUCUGCGUUGCUUUUAUAUUGUUGUUACCCCGUAUGUUUUUUUCCAUGACGACCAAUAAAAAGGAAGAUUUACCCCUUGUGUUUUUUUCCAUGAUGACCAAUAAAAAAAUAGUUUUACCCCUUGUGUUUUUUUUC